rnacentral:rRNA from 1 species
AUUGAACGCUGGCGGCAUGCUUUACACAUGCAAGUCGAACGGUAACAGGGAGCUUGCUCCGCUGACGAGUGGCGAACGGGUGAGUAAUAUAUCGGAACGUACCCAAGAGUGGGGGAUAACGUAGCGAAAGUUACGCUAAUACCGCAUACGAUCUAAGGAUGAAAGCAGGGGAUCUCCGGACCUUGUGCUCCUGGAGCGGCCGAUAUCUGAUUAGCUAGUUGGUGAGGUAAAGGCUCACCAAGGCGACGAUCAGUAGCUGGUCUGAGAGGACGACCAGCCACACUGGAACUGAGACACGGUCCAGACUCCUACGGGAGGCAGCAGUGGGGAAUUUUGGACAAUGGGCGCAAGCCUGAUCCAGCAAUGCCGCGUGAGUGAAGAAGGCCUUCGGGUUGUAAAGCUCUUUUGUCAGGGAAGAAACGGGAGUGGCUAAUAUCCAUUCCUAAUGACGGUACCUGAAGAAUAAGCACCGGCUAACUACGUGCCAGCAGCCGCGGUAACAC